rnacentral:lncRNA from 1 species
UUUGGGUUGGUUUCAGACCACGUGCCACCAGGGAAGAGCCUCUCCAUCCCUCCUACUUCUGCUUCCCCUCCAUCGCUCAUCUUCUGCCCUUUCCUCCAGGGUUUUGCCGGCUUGCAGGGGGGCCACGGGCACCCAGGACCUCCUGGAUCCAUAGGUUCUCUAGGAAAACCUGGACCUGAUGGAGACCCAGGUUCCCCAGGCCCAAAGGGUCUACCUGGGAAGCCUGGCUCCGAGGGGCCACAAGGACCUGUUGGCACCUACGGCUACCCAGGACCUGCCGGUGACCGCGGGAGGCCGGGACGCAGGGGAGACAAGGUAAGGCUGGGAAAUGAGGCACUGGGGUGGGAGGCCAGGCUUUGGAAAUAUUUUUUGGGUUGGGCUGUUGAUCCCAAUGGAUGGUUUUGGAUGGUGA